UCGGUGAAAUGCGUAGAUAUCAUUUGGAACGCCAAUGGUGAAAACAGGUAGCUGGGGCUGUGCUGACACUGAGACACGAAAGCCAGGGGAGCGAACGGGAUUAGAUACCCCGGUAGUCCUGGCCGUAAACGAUGUCGACUAGAUCGUAGUGGCUCUGACGCUAUUACGGUCGAAGCAAAAGUGCUAAGUCGACCGCCUGGGAAGUACGGUCGCAAGGCUAAAACUCAAAUGAAUUGACGG
rnacentral:rRNA from 1 species